CUACGGGCGGCUCCAGUAAGGAAUAUUGGUCAAUGGACGCAAGUCUGAACCAGCCAUGCCGCGUGAAGGAUUAAGGUCCUCUGGAUUGUAAACUUCUUUUAUAUGGGACGAAAAAAGGUCUUUCUAGACCCCUUGACGGUACCAUAUGAAUAAGCACCGGCUAACUCCGUGCCAGCAGCCGCGGUAAUACGGAGGGUGCAAGCGUUAUCCGGAUUCACUGGGUUUAAAGGGUGCGUAGGCGGGUAGGUAAGUCAGUGGUGAAAUCCUGGAGCUCAACUCCAGAACUGCCAUUGAUACUAUCUAUCUUGAAUAUUGUGGAGGUAAGCGGAAUAUGUCAUGUAGCGGUGAAAUGCUUAGAUAUGACAUAGAACACCCAUUGCGAAGGCAGCUUACUACGCAUAUAUUGACGCUGAGGCACGAAAGCGUGGGGAUCAAACAGGAUUAGAUACCCCAGUAGUC
rnacentral:rRNA from 1 species